rnacentral:rRNA from 1 species
UACGUAGGAUGCAAGCGUUGUCCGGAAUUAUUGGGCGUAAAGAGUUCGUAGGUGGUUAUCUAAGUCUGGUGUUAAAGACGGGAGCUCAACUCCCGCAUGGCAUCGGAAACUGGAUGGCUAGAGUGUGAAAGAGGUAACUGGAAUUCCUGGUGUAGCGGUGAAAUGCGCAGAUAUCAGGAGGAACACCUGUGGCGAAAGCGAGUUACUGGUUCAUUACUGACACUGAGGAACGAAAGCUAGGGUAGCAAAAGGGAUUAGAUACCCCUGUAGUCCUAGCCGUAAACGAUGGAUACUAGGUGUUGGAGGUUUCGACCCCUUCAGUGCCGUAGCUAACGCGAUAAGUAUCCCGCCUGGGGAGUACGACCGCAAGGUUGAA